rnacentral:lncRNA from 1 species
CAAUUAAUAAGUUUUUUCAUCAACUAAAUAAUAAAUUUUUCAGAAUAUAUAUUGCAUACAAUUCUCAGACAAACAUAAUUCAUCAUAAACUGCAAUUUUUUCCUCAAAAGAUCUGACAAUCUAAUUAGAGGACAAACGAUGAAUAGAGAAUGUGCUGUAAAUGGUGCGAAGUGAACAUUAUGAGAUUCGAGGUGCCAAUAAAUUCAUCAAUACAAAUGUUUGUAAGUUCAGCAUUUGUACCUAUAAUUCAAAUAGCUUCCCAACAACAGCCAAACUUCCCCACCUCUACACCCUAAGCCUACAGGAAUUACUGCAAAGAUGUGAAUAUCAGAUGCAUUUGUAAAAGCAUCUGUUAACAAUGAAUCAUGAGACAUUAUACUUGCAAAAUUCAAUUGCCUCUGCUUCACCAGUGCAGCAGUGUGAAAUGCAGUAAGCGCUCAUCUGGUGUUGGUGUUGGUGUUGCAGUGUGUAGAAGAACUUUCACUUAGAAACUCAAUGAUGCUCUCAAAUAUCCAGUUGAUCAAUGUUGACCAUGCGUGAAGCAUUCUGGAUAAGUUCCUUGCGGACAUCCACCUGACACCAAAAGAUAUGAAUUAGGGGGGAAAUUAUUGAGGAUUAGUACACUGAAUCUAUAUUAUCAUGGAUCAGUUCAUAAAAUAAAAAAUAAAAAUAAAAAAACACUACAAAAUCAGCAAUGUUAUGAAACAUUAUAGAUGUGCUAGCUACAUAAAAUAUCACAAACUGAAGAGCGACAAACAAGAUUGAUCUGCUUACCCGAGCACCCAUAAGCGAUGAGAAAACAAUAUUAGCUUCAGCUGCAUCCUCAACUACCAAUUGCUUCAGCAGCCUUCUCUCUGGAUCCAAGGUUGUUUCCCAAAGUUGUAAAGGCAUCAUUUCUCCCAAGCCUGUAAUUUUCAUUCAAAAUACAUAAAUAUAGAAAUUCAAUUGAAAAAUUACUGUCCUGUGCAUGCACACUGGACCUAAAUAGACAUCAACAAAUAUUUUUUCCAAAUGGAUAUUAUGGACCGGACCAGCCAGUCAGACCAGUUUAAUUGGGAACCGGACCUUGAUCCAGUUUGGUUUAAGGAGAAAACCCUGUAUUUAGUAAAACCAAAGUAAGCUAAUGUCAACCGGCAACCCAGAUGGUUGGAAUCUGGCCUUCCGAAUGGAACCGUUCUUCAAUUAGAAAAAGAAAUGCUUUUGUCACUCCCAGGAUUCAAUCCUGAAACCUUGGAAUGCACCAAAUGUCAACCAUCAUCUAGACCACUAUUCUCAAUGUUAUUUAUAGAGUUGAUAUAUGUAUAAAAGGUCUUUUUUUUUCCCUAUAGUUAUGUUAACAUAAAAAAAAAAUAACUAUUAAACUUGAAAAAACAAUAAUUACGACUUAAAUAAUUAAAUUAUUAAUAAUUUAUUUUAUUAAAUAAAUUAAAGUAUUACAUUAUUUUAUUUUAUCAUCUUUUACCGAGUACAAAAUACAUAAAUUUUUGUGUUCAUGAUUUUAUAUAGUUCUUAUUUCCAUUUGUUAUUAUAAAAUUUUAAUUUUAAGUUUUUCUUUAUUAUAUAUAAUUAAAAAUUAGAAAAUAUAAACUAUUUAAUCCCUACUGUGAAAAAAUUCAUUAGUUGGUCCCUCAGUUUUGAAAAAUAUACUAAAAUGUUCUUAAAAUUUUAAAAAGUCUACUAAUUAAUCUCUCCAUUAAUUUUAGCUGUUAAGUAUUACAAAAAAAAAAUCUAACAUGCCCCCAUGCGGAGAACUAAUUAAUAGACUUUUUAUAAAACUGAAAAAUUAACUAAUGAAUUUUCGCAUAAAAUUAACGGAUGGAUUAAUUAGUAACUUUUUAAAACGUCAGAGACGUUUUAGUGUAUUUUUCAAAACUAAGAAACCAACUAAUAAAUUUUCCCAUAAUACAGAGACUAAAUAAUAAUUUUUUUAAAAAAAUAUUAUUUAAAAUUUUAAAUUAUUUUCUAAAAAUAUUUAGAUCUUAAAAUUCCAGUAAAUUUAUAAAAGAAGCAUUCUUAUUAAUUUUAUAAAAUUUAUUUAAUAAUAUAUUUGUUCAACCUCAGUUCAGACCACAAUUAGACUUUAAACCCUUAACCUUUUUGCUUUCAUCGGUUCAUUGACUGGGUCGGGUUUAAAAACAUUGAUAAUAUGUACAAUAUUAUUUUAUAGGGUGAAUUAAGCUCAGAUAUAAUUUUUUUAUUAGAAACCCUACUUUGAGAACUCUAAUAUAUCCCCAACUUUUACUUUCGUUUCUAUAAGGUCCGUCCUUCCAUCCAAAAUCCUUCAUUUCUACUUUUGGUCCAAGCUCUAAAAAGUCGGAGAGAAUUUUUUUUAAACCCAAGUUUUCUGUCAACUUAAACUCAAUAUUUCUCUUGAAAUGCAGUCACCACUCCUAUCAAUACUUAAUCACCAUAAACUCAUUUCCAAAGAGUCCUCACUCCUAUCAAAAUCAAUUACUUUUGGUGGGUCAUCAAAAUAAACCUUAUACCUAGAACGCUCUAAGACAUUAAUUAAAAUGCCAAUCCAUCACCCAUCUCUGUACUUAGUAUGUGGCAUUGAGACUAUAAUUCACCUAAAAAACCCAUUCACGAGAGUUAAUCCUCUAGUGGAAAAGGCCUUGUAUACACAAGAUCCAUAAGCCAUUUAUGUGUAAAUAUUCUUUUAGUGGGUUUUGGUGGCUAUUUGCCACCAAAAUUUUCAGAGUGACUUUUGAUUUUCAUCAGCAGCAUACCUCGGGAUUUGAAAUUCUAGCUGAUGGAUAAUUAUUAGUUAGUCAUAGAUUAACCAUCCAUACAAGUUGAACUCUUGGUUGCAAUCUAUUGGAAGGCAACAGGAUGUGUCAGACAGACAGAGAGAGAGAGAGAGAGAGAAAGAGUUUUCCAUAGGGGCCUAAAUUUGAAAAGAGUAGAUAAAGAGUUACCACGGACUAACUACUAAACAAUGGUCAUAUCCAAGGACUUGAGUGUAGUUCACCAUAUUUUCUAUGGAAUGAACACGACAUGAUGAUUUUUAUUUUAGAAACUAUGGAUUUAUAUUAAGAAUGGAAAAAUCCAACUAUAGAGUGCAUGGUGGCCUACCAAACAAUAAAUUGUUCCACUUGGCAAUAAGAAAAGAAUUCAAAAAAGGAUCCAAAAGAAUGUCCUAUAACAGUUCAUUGUUCCCGUUAAAGAAACAAUUAUUUCGUUUGGAGUUGAUGGAAGGAAGCAAUUGCAAAUGAUGAAGCUAUUAAAAUAGAAAAGAACAAAGUAUAGAUCCGUAUAUCAUGCACAUUUAUUGUAGUUGGGGGAAAGAAGACAAUUUCAAUUUUCAGGUCAAGCCAGAAAUUAAGAUUUAUGUCUUACCUUUGAACCUUUGAAUAUUAUAUGAUGCAUUAUGAGGAAAUGAGUUUUGAAGAUUUUUUAGUUCUUCAUCAUCAUAACAAUAGUAUACUUGUUUUCCCCUCUCAACCUGGCCAUUUCAGAGAAUCAAAAAAUAAAUGGAAUUAAGUAAAAUAUAACCAUAUUUGGAAAUGAAAAGUGCACGAGUAUUCAGCCAAGCAAACCUUAUAAAGAGGGGGAACACCAACAUAUAUGCAACCUUCUUCAAAUAAGGCUCUCUACAAGAAUGAAUAAUCCCAUCAUUACAAUUUCAUUUAAAAUUUUAUCAUGCAUUUGAAUGUUGAUUUCUCAAAUUCAAAAACAAACUUCUUUUGCAACAAUUUCCUCCAUCAGAUACCUGAUAUCUGAAGAAAAAAGUUAGCAGCAGAGUUCGGAUGUGAGCACCAUCCACAUCAGCAUCUGUUAAGAUGAUGAUCUUAUGAUAUCGUAGUGCAUCCUUCUUAAAAUCCUCACCCUGUAACCAAGAAUAUUGACUCAUUAACCAAGGACAGAAGUUAGAUUUUUAUUACUAUCUUGCGAAGUAGGGAGGAAAGGGUGUGGAAAACCAAAUACAGGGGGAAAGAUACAAACCUUUACUCCAAGUCCAAGGCCAAGUAUAAGAUUUUGAAUCUCUUCAUUCUUGUACAUUGCCGCCUCAUCUUUUCUUUCUAUAUUUAAAAUUUUACCUCUCAGGGGAAGAAUAGCCUGCAUCAGUAUAUUUUAGUGACUUAUAUUCUAUGGUCGCCCGUUUAACUUUACGGUUUAGGUAAGAUACUCCACCAGUCAAGAUAACCAAGCUUGUUAUCAAAUAAAAGAAACUAAAAACAUUACUCUGCCCACAAACUCAACUUGGAUUCAUAAUAUACUAUGUAAUAUUAGUGCAAGAAACAAGAUAUGCACAAAUGAUGCAAAUGUGGUCUUGAACAAUGAAUAAUAUACUAUGUAAUAUUAGUGCAAGAAACAAGAUAUGCACAAAUGAUGCAAAUGUGGUCUUGAACAAUGAAAAAAUGAAGGCAGCGUUUAUCAAAUCAAGGAUUGGUGAAGUAUUUUGGGAGGUAUUUUCGGUUCUAUUCCAAUCGAAUUGAUUUUUACAAGAUUUAAGUAUUUAUAACAAAGAAUCAAACUAAUUUAGAAAUAUUUACCAAACAUCUAAUUAGGAAUAUCUACAAUAAAGGUAGAAAAUAAAAUUCCUAUAAUUAAACAUAUUUAGGAUCUCAAAGAUCUAAUCUAUGUUGAUCAACACUUCCUCGAUAUCACACAUGCGCAAUUUGCAAACCAACAUGUGAUAGGUCAUAUUGCUGAAUCUUUUGGUAAACACAUCAGCUAGUUGUUCAUCGAAAAUCACAUGACCUAAUCUCAAGCCACUAUUUAUUAACUUCUCUUUAAUAAAGUGUCGAUCAAUCUCAAUGUGCAUUAUUCGGUCAUGUUGAACUAGAUUAUGAGCUAUACUAAUGGCAACUUUGCUGUCACAGUACAAGAGCAAUUUAUCCCUCUCCAUUAGUUUCAAUACCUCCAGCAAUCUUUGUAACCAUAGGAAUUCACACACCUUGUAUCAUCACUCUAUAUUCCGCUUCAUAUUCUACUUCAGCACUUAAUCGAGUAACAACACUUUACUUCUUAUUUCUCCAAGUAGAGAAAAAAUAAGGAAGGGAGAUGUUGCAGUAAUUCGAGAAGAUGAGGAAGCAAAGAGUUUGGAUUCUGGGUAGGUAGAGUUGGUGAAGGCCAAGCAAAAUAUGUGAGUUUAUGAUCUGCUAGGGGAGAGCUCCUUAGGUUUUAGUGGUCAAACUUUGGUCCUUGUUUUUUUAAUUUAAUUUAGGACAUAAGUGUCUUUUCCUUAUAAACUAACAGCAACUUCACUCCAUUUUUGACAGAAUGAUCAUUUUGUUACCUUAAUUUAAAAUUUUGGACUAAAUUAUUAUAUAAAUUUAAGUCAAGGACGACUUUGUGAGUUUUAUUAAACCUUAGGGGCUUAUAUGUAAAUUACCCUAAAUAUAAAUACUAUCAAAUAUAGACUAUAUAACUUAGAUUAAACAUCGUUACAAUAAACUAAUAAAAUAAAACUAAGUAAUUCACUGAAUUAAUUACAAAAAUCUAUACCUUAAUUUAUUUAUAAUAACAUAGAUAUUGUAACUUAUCCUAAAUAUUGAACUAUAUGUAGUAUUGGCCAUUGUUGAAUCCCACAUCGAUUGUGGAAAGGGGUAAUGUGCCCCUUAUAUGAGCCAUAGACAAUCUUCCCCCUUGAGCUAGCUUUUGGAGUGAGUUAGGUCUCGCCCAAAUUUAACAUGGUAAUCAGAGCCUCUCAUCCGAUGUUGGGCGCCCCAUAAAUUUGCCACGCACCAGUAAAAAAUUUUGGGCAUGAGGGGGUUUAUUGAAUCCCACAUCAAUUGUGAACAGGAAUAAUAUGCCCCUUAUAUAGCCAUAGGCAAUCCUCCCCCUUGAGCUAGCUUUUGGGGUGAGUUAGGCCUGGCCCAAAUUUAACGGUCAUUAACAAAUAACUAAUAAAACUUAAGUAUAAAAUUUUGUGUAUGUUAUCUUAUAAUUAAUUUAAUGAAAUAAAUUUCUGAGUAUAGUUAAAAAUAAGAAAAAGUCACGCUAUCUUAUCUUAUAUAUUGGGUAAACUAAUAGCUCAAACUAUAAUUUUAACUCAAAAGUAACAUCAAGAUGAUCUUUAAUCGACAAAAAUUUUAAAAAGAAAAAAGAAGUGCAAAAAAAAAAUUAUAAAAAUGAAACAAAAAGAAAAAUAAAAAUAAACUCAUCUUUUAGAAAAAAGAUACAAAGGAAUGGAGUAGUUUAUGAUGGAUUUAAGCUUAUAACAGAAAAAUAUAGAAAAAAAUAAGUUGUUUGAGAGAAAAGAAAGAAAGAUUUUGACAAAAAAGAAAAAAAAAAGCUCUUAAAUUGUUGAAUUUCAAUGGAACCUUAAUAUUCAUUAUGUUUGGCAUGUAAACAAUAAAAAUUGAAUUAUUGGUAACGGCCGUUACCGUUACAUGAGCCGUUCGGUAACUGUCAUUACCGUUACGUAACGGCAGUUACGCAUGCAAAUUGGAGGGUCUUGAAAUAACAGAGUAACGGGUAAUGGCCCCCUCAUUUUUUGUGUAACAAUAAUGUAUCGGCCGUUAUUUAAAACCAUCCAUGCACAUGAAAUUGCUUGUAGAUAAAUUGUAACAGUUAUGCCCAAUACCUGAAAGCGCCUAUCACGACCUUGUUUGGCACUUCCACCGGCUGAAUCUCCUUCAACGAUAAAAAUUUCUGCAAGCAUCAAUGAUAAAAUAACACAUCAAAAACUCAAUUUAUAAUGCCAAUGAAGCAAAAAUCCAUAAUUCUUCAUUUCUUGAGCUAAAUCAAAGUUCAACAUAUAAGAAAACAAAUAGCACCACCUGUCAUAGCAUUAAACUGAUGAGUUGCAAAAUAAAACUAUGGGAAAUAGUGAUUGAAUGCACACAACAGUACCAACUAGAGAACCUGUUUGGCUUUACAACUAGUAGAUCUACAAUAGAACCUGCCUAUCUAUUGAGAAGUUUAAUGGAAAUUGAUAGGAAGAGGAAGAAAGAUCAAUAUAAUAAGAGUAGCGAGGGAAGUCCUUUGGUGCGUGUUAAAGAAAAAAGAGUCCAUUUCAAAUAUAUAGAUACUCUUAGACAUGUGUGAGGAGGCAGACAUAAGUAUAGGAACAGUGGGAAUAGAUAAGAACAAGCUUUCCCGUAACAGUGGGUUUCAAUCAGGGAUUUGGCUUUGAGUCUGUACCUGUUUACCUAAGCAAUGGAUAAGCUAACCAGUCAUAUUUAAGGUGAUGUAUCAUGGCACAUGUUAUUUGCAGAUGAUGCUUUCUUAGUGGAUGGAACAAGUGAAAGAGUAAUCAAAAGUAAUUAUGGACGACUUGAGAGAAAAGGCUUUAAGCUAAAUAGAAAUAAAAUGGAACAUAUGCAUUGCGAGUUUAGCUCCCAUAGAAGGAUGGCGAGGAGGUUUGAUUGGAUGGAAUGCUGAUGCUAAAAUGUAAUCAAUUCAAGUAUUUAGAUUCUAUCAUCCAAAAAAACAAAGCAAUUCAAGUAUUUCUUUAUAAUACAUACAUAGUUUAUUAUUAUUAUUUUUCCAGUAAAGUAUAUAUAAAUAAUAUUUGUUCUGCAAAAGCUGAUAUAAGAAAUUUAAAAAAAGAAGAAGAAGAAAGAGAGAGAGAGAGAGAGAGAGACUUUGCAUUAUCAGCAUUGUAAAGAAAAAGUAACAAACAUAUAUUUGGUCAAUUGAGAUGUUACUUGGCUCCACAAUUACGUUACUACAUUCAUUCACUAAAUUAGCCAUAAUUUCCAUAAAUAUUAAGAUUACCAGAAAAAUUGAUAAAAAUAUAAGGAUUGGACCAAAUUUGAGGCAUGCCCAAAUGAAAUAAGUUGGUAAGAAUAAGCAAAAGCAAAAGCGUAAUCAUCAUAAAAAUAAAUUCAUAUAAGCAGCCAGCCAUCAUGGUAUGAAAAUUUCAAACUCUAUGCACUGUUGUCAGAAUCUUACUUUCUCGAUUCGAAUCUUAAGAUUCAAAUCUAUGGGGUGAAUCUUAAAUGUAUUUAAAUCUUACAUUCUUGAUUCAAAUCUUACGAUUUUCAAUUUGAUUCUACAUCCUAGCGAUUCAAAUCUAUAGAGUACAUAUAUUGUGACUAAAUCAAAAAAAUUGAUAGUAAAUAAGGUGAAUCAAAGAAUUUUUCAUCCGAUGCUAUUAAUUAUCUUAUAUUUUCAAAUUUUAAGAUCUUAUUCAUUUUUGCUAUAAAAAAGUGUAUAUAAAACCUUCCCUUAUCUAUUUUUCUUCGACUAACCAUUCUUUUCCCUCUCCUUCUAGUCCUUUUUUUUUUCUUUUCAAUUAAUUUACUUAACUAAUUAUAGUUGUUAAAUUAUGAUAGUUUAUAUUUAUAAUAUUCUAAUAUGCUAUUUUUUUUUACUAUUUAAUUAUUUGAUCAAAUUUAAAUGAGUUUUGGUAUAUAUAUAAAGAUAACUAUUGUCUACAAUCCCAAAGUUCAUAAUUUAUAACAAAGAACUAUAUAACAUAAUGCAUACAUAUUAUCCUAUUAUGAAGAAUAUUUCUAAUUAAAUAAAUAAUAAUUCUAUACUUAUCAAAAUAUGGCAUUAUGAUAUAUUUUUUACUUAUUUUUAGAACAUAUAUUAUUUUUAAUUAUUUUUGGAAAUCUUAUUGAAUCUUACUAUUCAAUUCAAUUCUUGAUUCAUGAAAUGAAGAUUUCAAUUCUCGAUUCCAAUCUUGAUUUGACAACUAUGCUCCUAUGAUGGUCAGAAAACUUUCAGAUAAAAAAAAAUUGAAAAAUAAGAGCAACCAGAUUCUUCAGGAUUUGUAGAUGAACAAUCAGCCAGUUUUCCUGGAAGAGAUGAUGUUCUCAACACACUCUUCUGUCUCACCAACUCCCUUGCCUUCUUUGCUGCCAAAGCUGCCUAGAUAGGAAAAUAACAGAAAUAAGAUAAAGGCUCAGGUUCAACACAAAUAGACACCCUACAUGCUAGAACAGGAACAGAUUGAUUAACAGGUUUAAUACAGAUUGAAGCAAAUAAGAUAAGGACAAAAAUGAAAAUUUAGGAGAAGGAUACCUUCAGAGCAUUUAGAGAUUUUGAGAGGAUUGAAUCAAGAACAUCUGGAUGCAACUCCAAAUAUUCAGUAAGAUACUCUUGCACUGAUUGGUCCACCACUUUUCGCACCUCGGGAUUUCCUAACCUUGUCUUUGGUGAUGGACAGAGAACCACAAGUGUAUGAUAUUAACAGUUAGGAAUGAAACAAAAACAACACUCAGAUGGCCAAAGCAUCAGUAUCGGGUACUCUAAGAAGAUUACAAUAAACAGGCAGCAAUACCUUUGUUUGUCCUUCAAACUCUGGACUUGGAACUUUAACUGAUAUAAUGCAUGUUAACCCCUCUCUCACAUGUUCACCGCUUAAAUUAAUAUCCUUAUCCUGAAAGGCACAGAUGAUAUAUAAGCAUUAUGAGCUUUAGCUACUUUAAUCUAAACUCUAACCACAACAACCAUAACUCUUGAUUGAAAAUCAUUCAGAAGUUCUAUUAUAAAAAUACAUCCAAGGGGCUUAUACAAUUAAUUUAUUCUCUAGCUGUAAUAAGUACGUGCAUGGAACUUCCUACAUGCUUGCAAAGGCAAGAAUAUUGUAAAAUUCUUGAGAGAAGUGAGGGAGAGAGAGAUGGAAGGAAUGUAGCAGGACGGGGUGAAAACACACUGUCAUUCAAGAACAGAUUAUGUAAACGGACUAAGAAGAUAACCUGAUCAGUUGUACUGAAAGACAAAUGCUUGAAAACACGCACACAAAUUAUCAAAUUAAAAAAAAAAAAAAAAGCGAGAGCGCUUUUGCUAUAGAAGAAAUAACAAAAAAACACAACUUUCUCUAUCACCAACCCAUUUCACCAGUACUCAUACCCACUACCGAGCAGUAAAUACUGUAUAUAUGCAUUCAAUUUUAUCAAUAUUGAUCAAACAUAUACAAAUUUUGAAAUACAACUAUAAUAUUGCAACCAAAAAAGCCUUAAUUAACAUGUUUCAAAAAGUUAAGGGCACAAUUUAAUUAAAGAAAUAAUAAUACAAGAGUUUAAUCAGAAACUGGAAAACGAUUUGGAGGACUUCCCAAAUAAUUUAACCACAAAAAAAUCGCAACCCUUUGUGCAGAGAAGUGACCAGUGAGUAAAGCAAUUGAAAGAUUGGAACUAAAAGAAUUGAAGAGGACAAGAGGAAAAAAUUGGCAAUCACAAAAUGCAUCAAUGCCAAACCUUUACUAUCUUUGACUUCUUCCCAAGAUUAUUGAGUGUUCUGGUUAAUGAAGCCUUGAAACCGUCUAUAUGUGUGCCACCAUCAAUAGUGCGUAUACUAUUGGCAUACCCCAGUAUCAUAUCUGAGUAUGCAUCAGAACACCUGGCAAAGGGUGAAUGAAUUAACUCCAAUCACGUAGUUAUAAAUGGGAUGGUUGUUAACAACUAAAUAUUAAUCUUAGGCCAAACUAACAGAGAGGUUAUAACAUGAGCAAAAAGAAAGUAGUUUACCAUUGAAGAGCCAUAUCGAUUGCGAUCCCAUCUAUUUCUUUUCUGAAACCCACAACAUCAUGAAGUGAUUUCUGAAACAAUAAUAAUAGUUAGUUUACAUACAUACAGUCCAUAUGCUAUAAUCCAUGGGAAAGAAAAAAGCAAAAAAAGGAAGCAAAAUCUUUUUACAUGCUGGCCUCAUGGCCUAAUGGUGUAAUGGAGUUAAGGUGUUCAUCUUUCAGAAACAAAGUACUACAUUCAAAAAAUUAUAAUGUGUCUAGAACCCAAAUGCAGCAAAAAAUGUCAAUAGUACUACAUACACAAUUGGGUUGCACAUUGCUAUAUACAGAUCAAUAAUAUCACAUUCUAUAACAAAUAGGCAUUGAACCUUCAGAUAGAUCAUAAUCUACCCUACUAAACCAGUAAGCCUAUGAACUAUAUUGUUCACAUUCAAAUACAUGUCUCAUUUCCUGUUAGCCAAGAACAGACGCAAAGUCAACCUCCAAAAAAUGAUGAAAACUGUAGCCCAAAAUCAUAUCCUUUGAUUGUCAAACCAGACCCUUAUGCACGCAUCAUUUUUCCCCUUCCAGAAUCAAUGUAUUAAGGACAAAAAGUUGCAAGCUUGCUAAAAGGCAAAAUAGUACAAAACAACAAAGGGAAACUGCAAUAAUAGCAAGAGGAUUCGUCAAUAAACUAAUAAUACCUUAUCAGUAUUUAGCCAUUUAACAUACUCUACCAACCCUCCUGCAUAGAAAUAUUCAUCAUACUGGUUCUUCUCUGGAUCAUUAUCUUCUUUUUUCAGUGUGAUAGUAAGCUACAAGAAAAAACAACGCAAACAAAAUCAGCAUCAAAAUAAUAAACUUGCCAAGUGAACCACAGGAGAGCUAGUCCAUUCCAAUUAAGAGUAGUUAACAAAAAGUGAAGAAAUCAUAGUUAGCAUCCUUGAAACCAGUGACUUUACCUUUGGAUUUAAAAAAGCAAGCUCCCUAACUCUUCCACCUAUUGUGUUGUAGUCAAACUGAAUUGCAGUAGUGAAUACUGCAGAAAAAUUGAAAAAUAAUCAAAGAAAAUAUAGAUCACUGGUUGUAUAUAUCACUAAAAGUCAUGGAAUAAGUAUAAAUAGAAAACCAUAAGAUGCAUCUGAUGCUUAAAAAGUCAUGGAAAACCUUCUUUGUCUGGCCAAAAUCUGACACAUGUCCCUUGACGAUCCCUUGAUUCAACUGGUAACGAAUAACCCGUAAGAAUUGUCACAGGAUUACCACGAGAAUAUCUCUGUUUGUAUUCCAUUCCAUCACGCCAAACAGUAACUUCUAAUCCCUAUGAACCAAACCAUAAUCAAGUUACAUAUAAUGAAAAGGAAGAAAGAUAAAGAAAUACAUGAACUGCAUGGCUAAUGAAGGUUCAAGGCAUACUGAGGUGCGAAGAGUCGUGAGGUGCAGGCACACACCUGAAUAAGGUGAGGCUUAAAAAAAUAAAGUUUAGUAAAAAAUAAAAAUAAAGUUUAGUAAAAAAUAAAAAUAAAUUAAUAAUAUAUGUAAAUCCAUUUAACCAAAUUUAUCAAAAUUGACAAUCUAUAAAGUUUAGUAAGUAUAGAAAAGUACAAAAUAAAUAUAAAGUUUACCAUCAGAAUUAUUUUUUCAGAACUUGUUAGAAGGAAAAUAAACCCAAACAAUGGACAUUCAAAAACAAACCUUAAUGUUUUAUAUUCAUAAACAAAUCCAAAUAGCAGAAUUCAUAAACAAAUCCAAAUAGCACAAAUCAAAGACUCACACAGCACCAUCAGUGAUAUUUAAAGGACAUUUUCAGAAAAUUAGACAGAAUCCAAAAAAGUAGUUAAGAUGAAAAAGAUAAUAACAGAAUAGUGAAACGCACGAAGAGAGGGAUUAAAAGGACCAUGAGCGUUGAAAAUGAGAAGAUGAAAAGUUUUUUAUCCUAGGUUUGGUGGUUCGAUGGGAUUUCAGCUACUAGUCAUCCCCAGCGAUAAUAAUUUUGAAAAAUUCCUAGUGUGCCAAUAUGGAUUUUGGAAGAUCGGCAAAUUCUGUGUCAAGUGGUAGUUCUUUUUCUUUUGGUCAAUAAAAGUACUUCACGAAGGCGCAACUUUUUAAAGCUUUGCACCUAGAAGAAGAAGCAUCCUAAGUGCAUAAGGAGUGUGCUUUGUGAACAUGCCUGCCUUUCUCCUAUUGAGGCAAUAGAGUUCGAGCCUAAUGAGUCUUGAGCCUCAAGACACCUUCAACAACUAUGAUGAAAUGUGAAGGAAUUUCAGAUAAUGAAAAUUAGAACUUUUCAUGAACAUCCAUUACCACAGCAUAAUAUGCCAGUUCGUUACAAUGCCAUUGCUCAUUUGACAUUCCAAAUUGAUAAUUGGUCAGAAACACAGUAAAUAUAAAGGUUCACUUUCCAUUUUCCAAUUUCUUUAAAACACAAGAUACCUUUACCUUUUGUUUCUUUCAAUUAAUCCACCUAAGGUAGGUUGCAAAUUAUAGCACGCAGUGGCAGAAGUAAAAUAAUGACAAGAGGGGAAUAGAAAAAGAUAAGGGGCAUGAGAUUUGAUUUAGGACUAGGAGACUCUCUAACUUAUAAAUUAACAAAAAUGAGGAAGGAAAAAAAUUCGCUUAUGAUUGUAGGGAAAAAGCAGGCCCAAUGAAGCUCAAAUUAAAUAUAAUUCACACCUCAGACAACGCAUUAACAACAGACAAGCCCACACCAUGUAAUCCACCGGAGACACUAUAGCCACUAUUAGAACCACCAAAUUUUCCACCAGCAUGUAAGACCUGCAAAACAAAGUGAUGGCAUUUGAACCAUAAAUUAAUAAUGCGGAAAAACACAAAGCAAUAGUUCAAAUGCAAAAGAGCAAUUAGGAUUUAUACACAGUAGCAAGCUAAUUAGGUUUCAUCAAUGUGUUCCCUUUUUUCCUUUUCCUUCAUCUUUUUUCUUUUUCUUUUUCUUUCCAAUGCAAAAACACACAGCCCAUUCAUUCGAGAUGGACUAUUGGUUUUUCUUUACUUGUCUAUUUAUUUUUUCUGUUUUCUUAUAAAAGUUUUAAUUGACAAUGAAAUUUCUUUUCUGAUUUUUCCUAUUUCCCAAAAAGGCUCACCUUUUUCCUCUCUGUCCAUUCAUUUGACCACAAAUAUUGUUGAACACUUGCUAAUAUAUCUUCACUAGUGAACUUGUUCUCUACAAUUUAUAUUAAUGUAGAAAAGUUUGAGAACCUAAUGUUUGAUCACAAUUUUGAAUAAUAGAGUUAAGAGUUUUGUAUUUGCAAAGGUAUGUACAACAUAAAUCAGACUUAUCUCCAGAGUCAACUAUAAUCUAAAUAGAAAUGGGCAAUCCUACCGUUAGCACAGUCUCCAAGGCAGAUUUCUUUGUGUCUGGAUGCAGAUCAGUGGGUAUCUGCAUGAAGAGAAAAGCGGAGAAGCAUAUACGAAAAGAAGUGAAUAAUGAUGAUGAUAAUAAUAAUAAUAACAAUAAUAAUAAUAAAUAAAGUUGGUACUAGUAAGCAACUAGUAUUGCCUUAAACUUGAUGAAAAAGCAGGAAAAUCAUAACCAUGAAACAGUACGCGCAUAUAUUAGGGAAAAAAGUUAAUGCAACUUUUUGACACUUUAGGGACAUAACUCACAUUAGCAAAAGAUUAUGAAAUUUUAUCAUAUUUUAUUUGUUCAGAUUGUGACUCAAAAAGUCAAUAUAUUCACAAUGUUCCAUUGCAAAGUGAAUAAAAUGAUUAUGCAACUCAUAUAAAAGCAUAAGAUUCAAUAUUCAAAAAGUCGAUGAAGCUUCAUAUUGAAAUUUUUAUUGUUGGCACAAGGCUUGAAGUUCAUAUUGCCAUGGAAUAAAGUAAUCAUUUAUAGAACACAAUCACAUAAAAAUUAUUACUGCCAGACAAAGAACAAAAAAUGGUAUAUCUUCAUACCAAUAAAUACAGUUCCAUAAUAUGAAUUAAUAAGAAAUACUAUCCACUGGCUUGAAAUGACAGGCCAUACCCCACGCCCGUUGUCAGUGAUGCUAACAGAAUUAUCAGAAUAUAAGACGACAUCUAUCUUUGAAGCAUAUCCUGCUUGGGCCUCGUCAAUAGCAUUAUCCAAUAUUUCAUAAACCUAAGAGGAAAGCCAAUCAACAGAAAACCUCAAUAUUUAAUUGAGCUCCAAUCCACUUGAAAUGGAAAAUUGAAUCUAACAGAAUAAAAGUAGAAAAGAAACUACCAAAUGGUGCAACCCACGAGGUCCAGUACUUCCAAUGUACAUGCCUGGCCUUUUCCUAACAGGUUCUAAGCCUUUCAGCACCUACAUUUCAUUAUAUUAAAUGAGAGAAGGGAAAAGCAGCAAGAGCACAUAAGUCUCCAAUUAAAAAUUUUUAAAAAAUUUCUCCAACAAACAAUCUAUUAUGAAAUUCAAAAGAAGGAAUUGUUUCUGAUAAUCACAAGCAUCUCAUUUGAAAAUCAUUCUUUACAGCCUCACCGCGUCCAUUAAUGACAAGCACAACAUUUGAAAGAUACUCUCAAAAUCCAAACUGCAUAGUUUAUGCCCAUAUCUAGGCCACAAAUGAACUGAUCAACUCAUAUAUGCUCAGAGCUUAACAUAAUAAAAGUUUUCUUGAGCAUGGUUGUUAAAAAUUAAUAAGGUAAACUAAAAUUGACUUUUACGACUCAUCCAAUAAAUGAGCUAAUUUGAGCAAUACCCAGCUCAGCUCAUCGGGACACCUGAGUUGCCUCAUUGUAGAAUCAUAAGCCUGCUCAUAUGUGAAUUUCUAAAUAAUUUGAUAGUGACUCUAAAUUCUAUGUAUCACUAUUAUAAUAUGCAUAGAAAUACAAUUUAAAACUGUUUAUUAAGUGAAAAUCUAAUAGAAAGAAAAACAUUUUUUUCUUACUUUAUAUACUUAACAUAUAAAUUGUGAUAAAAUGUAUUGUACAAAUUGCGAUAAAAUUUAUCAUACACUUUUAUAUACUUUCAUCACAAUUUAUACAUUAAGCAUAUUAUAGUUUUUAUCAAAUACAUAAAUAGUUGUCAAAUCAAGAUUCAAAUCAUUGUGUUAAGUAUAUUAUAGUUUUUAACAUAUACAUAAAUGGUUGUCAAAUCAAGAUUUAAAUCAAGAAUUGAAAUCUUCAUUUUGUGAAUCGGGAAUCGAGAACGAAAUCGCAAGGUUUGAAAAAAUUUUAAAAAUUAAUUAAAAAUAAUAUAUGUUUUAAAAAACAAGUAUAAAAUAUCAUAAUCACAUAUUUUAAUAAGUAUAGAAUUAUCAUUUGUGUAACUAAAAAAUAUUUCUAUAGUAGAAUAAUAUAUAAUAUAUUCUUAUUAAGUCAUAUGGAUUUAUAUUAUAAAUUAGGAACCCUUGAAUUGUACACAAUGAUCAUCAUCAUGUAUAUGCUGAUUAUAUAUAUAUAUAUAUAUAUAUAUAUAUAUAUAUAUAUAGAGAGAGAGAGAGAGAGAGAGAGAGAGAAAGAGAGUGAAGGAAAAGAAUGGGUGAUGGAAGAAAAAUAGCCAAGGAAAAAGUUUAUGUGCACUUCUCAUAGCAAAAAUAAUUGGAACUAAUAACCAUUUAAAAUAUAAUCCCCUAAAUUGAGUGAAGACUAGGUCAUUUCAUAUUGAUUCACUAUCCAUUCUCUUGACUUAGUUACAAUUCAGGUACAUUUGCAAUUUGUCCCAUAAAUGUGAAUUGCUAGGAUGUUGAAUAAAAUAGAGAAUCAUAAGUUUCAAAUCAAUAAUCAUAAGAUUCAAGUACAUUUAAGAUUCACCCAAAGAAAUUACACGCAGUUUACCUGAAUUUGAUCAGAACCAUAUGCCUUUGAACUAGCAUUUUCUUGAAAGGAUUCUGUUGCAGUGCUGGAUGACAUGAAAGCCCUAGGUGAAACUGCAUUUUGAACUGAAAAUCGAUUUGGAAACCCUCUCAGUGGAAAGCUCACCCUGCAAUAUAAACAUAGCAAGAGAAGAAAAUAUCAUCAAAUUAUGCUACUAACCAAAUCCCUUAAAAACCAUUGCAUUGUACAUAUUUCACCAUUUCUUUUCUUUUCUUUUCUUUCCAAAAAAAUUCUAUAACAAACAGAUAACUAAUAUGUUCUAAUGGCUGUUAGGGGCACCUUAGACAUGACGUGAAUUCUGCUUUUCUAAUCUUCUAUCUUUAAGACCUAAUCCCUGUUAGGGAAAGAUAGGGAGAAUAAUGAUUUUGGAUUUUCUAAUCCAUAUAAGUUGGCGUUUUAAAAAGAAUAGAUUUCGCUUCUUAAUUCAAAGAAUAUUUUUGAAGAGUCUUUGUAAAGAGGGUCAAGAAAAAAAAAAAAGCUUGAACAAAAUUCAAGUGUGUUUGAACUUAACCUUUUAAGGCAGCUAUACUCAAAAAACUAAUUUCCAUCCAUGUUCAAGCUCAUGCUCAAGCUGAAGCUCAAUAAUCCAAACAACUAAAUAAAACCCAUGUAUUUAGACCUCAUUUAAGCAAUUUAGCAAACCAAGUAAACUUCAUCCUGUCAUUUCAAAGCAACAACUAUGCAAGCAUUAAGUCAUAAUUAAAACAGUAUUCAGUUCUCUCAACCUUUUUUUACCAGAAAACUUAAACAAUACACUAGUGUCCUUUCAUUUCCUUCCCCAAGCUUUUUCCCGGAAAACGAAACAGGAACUGAACAACAGAAACAACAAAAGUACAAGUUCCAAUAAAAGAGAAAACAAGGAGUGCAGUGGAAAACCUGGACUUGAAGGGAAGAAGGGGGCGAGAGAGAUUAGAGGAAGCAUGACUGUGAAAAGAAGAAGAAGAAGAAGGAAGAGGAGGAGGAGAGCUACGAAAGGCCAUGAUUACGCGAAGAAGACGAUGAAAAUUACGGUGUUUUAGAAGAAGCGCCAUCUGCAAUUGGGGUUUUCUGGGUCUCGGUUGAGCCAGAAACACUCAAAUUAAGAUAAAAAUCCAAUUUUUUUUUCCCUCCAUCGAGAUUAGGGCUUCAAAUUGUCCUUUCCUUUGCAGCCUUGUAUGAAUUUAGGGCCGGCCCAUUUGUUUGUAAGGGAAGAUGAUGAUGAAAUAUUCGCACAUUAAUAAAAAAUUCAAAAAGGUAUAGAUAAAUUAUAUUUUAAUUUUUAAAUUUUAGUAUAAUUAAUUGAUUAAUUUUUAUAAUUUUAAAAUUAAAUAUUUAAAUUUUUUUAUAAUUAAUUCAUUUAAAUUAGAGACAGUUAUAUCCAUUCAUUGAAAGCAUGAAAAUAUUUUAUUAUUAUUUUUAAAUAAAUAAAUUAUAUUUUAAUUUUUUAAUUUUAACAUAAUUAACGAAUCGAUUUUUAUAUUUUUAAAAUUAAACAUUAAGUCUGUUUAAAGUUCAAUUUUUUUAUUUAUUUCUUGCAUUAAAAAUUUAGAGAUUUCUUUUUAGAUUUCUUUUUUUUAAUUUUUUUUAUUAUUUAUUUAUUUUUUUUUAUUUUUUUUAUUUUUUUUAUUUAUACAGAGGAGAUGCUUAGAAUAUAAUAGGAAUACAAUAAGAUGUGUGAUAAAAAAGAGCAUCCAACACCACUUUCUGGUCCUAAGAUUAGCGGUGACUAUCAUUGAAGGCAAUUAAGGAUUACCAAAUUAUAUCCUAAAGCUAUAAAGUGGAUACUUUCGUCUUUGAGAGUAUUGGUGGUAUUCAUUAGAUUUUUUAGGUAGUCUCAAUAUUUGUGGUCUUUUUUAAAGAAAACAUCGAUUUAUUCUUCAAUAAUGGCAAAUAAGAUAUUAAUAUAGGACAUGUACCAUCAGUCGUUUGUCUUAUGGAAUAAACUUAAACAACUAGUUGCUUGACUAAAGAGAGAGAGCAACUCGGCCAACUGACAAUUCAUAAGGAGAGGCGAUAGAGAAAGUUCUACUAUAGAUGAACCACUUACCUUCCUUUCCCUAACUUGUAGAGGUACAUGUCCUAUACCAGUAUCUUAUUCGCCAUUAGAACCACCACCUAAAAUACUGAGUGAUUUUGAUAUCCUUAUCAGUCUAAACGCUAGUAUAUAUCCACUUACUCUAUUGCCAAUUUUAUUUUCUAUGAUCAUUUAUCUCCCUCAUCUAGCUCUUUAAUUGUCUCCUUAGAUUUUAUUUUCAUACUUAAAAUAGUCAAAGAAGCCCCAUCUCAUUUUGGCCGGCAUGACACAAUGUUUGAGGAGACAAGCUUUGGAUGAUAAUCAUAUAUGGAAUUUGAUAGAUUUAUUGCCAGACAAGAAAGGUAUAGCAUGCAAAUGAGUUUUUGUUAUCAGAGUCAAUCCAUAUAGUUAUGUGGCUUGGUUUAAGGCCAAAUUUGUAACUAAAGGAUAUAAAUAAAUUUAUGGAGUAGACUAUUCAGACAUCUUUUCACCUAUGGCCAAAAUUAUUUAUAUUCUGUUAUUUAUUUUCACAGCGACUUCUUAGCAUUGGUUGUUACAUUAGCUAGAUAUAAGAAUAUUUUUCUUUAGAAGAAAUGUAUAUGGAGCAACUAAAUAGUUUUGUUGCUUAUAGAGAAUAUGGAAAAGUUUAUCGUUUGUAGAAAAUUUUGUCUAGUUUAAAGUAGAGUUCUUGUAUUUAGUUUGAUAAAUUUAGUAAAAUAGUUCAAAAUUUUAGAUCAACAAGUGCAAUCACUCAGAUUUUUACAGACAAUUAAAAAUUGACAUUAUUUUUCUUAUUAUAUAUGUUGAUAAUAUUGUUAUUAUAAGAAAUUAUGAGUAAGAGAUUCAAAUACCGUUUAAAUGAUGAGACAAGCUAAAUCGACGGUGAAAAACUACAAAAAUAAAUAUUUUUUAAAAUAUUUAUACUAAUAUUAUUAUAAACAAUUAAAAAAUAAAUAAACAAGAAUAAUUUUUAAAUUGUUGCAUUUAACCAGAAUAUAUAUGUAAUUUUUUUGGCUCUUAUAAAUUGCCUAAAUAUCAAUGAAGAAAUGAGAAAAAAAAUUUUUAAAACAUAGAAUAAAAUUGGGUUAAUGUUCCACAUACUUAUUGAAAAAUUUCAGUUUAGCUUAUUUUUAAUUUUUUGUCUAAAUUAACUUAAAAGUUUCAAUUUAAUUCCAUUUUAAUAAAAAAAUCAAGAAAUUAAGCUUCUUAAUUGGACUAAAUGAAUAUACUAAAAAAUUAAAUUAAAAUUAUAAAAUUUAACUUCUUAAUUUUUAUCCGAUUUAAAAAGAAUUUGAUUUAAAGAAUCGAUAAAAAUACCAUUGAAUUUAAAGAAUUUAAUUUAAAGGAUUGAAAUAGGGUAUAAAAAUUAAACAUAUUUAAAGGUUAAAAAUAUAAAAACCGAAGAAAGAGGAAAGAGAGAAGACGAAGAAGAAAGAAAUAUAAAAGCUAUAUUUUGAUUGCAUUGCCUAUAUUUGCAUUUGUUAUCGAAUUUAAAAAGUUUAUUUAUAAUAAAAAAAAUAAUAAGGAUGGUUUCGAUUAUACAAUUUAAAUAAUUUAUAAAAUUAUAGUAUUUGAUUUUAUGAAAAGAAAUAAAUAUUUAAAAUUUAAAAAAUAUUUGAAUUCAAUUUGUAGUGAAUGAUAUUAUUUCCAACAACUUUGAUGGAGUUGAGAAAUUAAAGAAUUUGGGCAAAUAAUUUUUCUUUUUGAGCAAAAAUGGAAUUUAAAUUGAAACUUUUGAAUUAGUUUAGCCAAACAAUUAAAAUGGGUUAAACUGAACUUUCCUAACAAAUAUUGUAAUGAAAUCAAAAAUUUAGCCAAAUUAAUUUUAUAAAAGGCUCAAAUUCUAGACUCGUCGCAUCGAAAUAGGAGUACUUUUGUACUUUAUGCAAAAUCCAAAUUAAGAAAUUGGAGGAGAGCUUUUAGCUUUUUGCAACAAUAGAACCCAACAAAGGAACACCAAGUCAACCAUGAAGUCUUCCUUAUCUCCUUUCACACUUCUAUUGGAUGAUAUUCUGCAACUUGGUUGCACAGUUAGGCUCAAUGAUUGCCAUUCAUCUUCUUCAGAGUUGCUGCUGCUGCUGCUAAUGCACAUCAGACUCAGAGCUCUCUCUCUUCACUCUCUUUACAAAGAUCAAAUUUCAAUGGCAAAGUUUCUUUACCAUCUCCUUCUCAUCAAGUUCCUUUAUCUUCUACUUCUUUCAUCAUCUGCUUACACUUCAGCAACAAAUUACUCCAUAAACUGUGGAUCAGAGUCCACCGUUAGUCUUCUUGAUGACCGGACUUUUGUUGGUGAUGAAAAUUCUGAUUCUUUCUCUGCAGGAAAUGGUGUUUCUAUCAGCAGUGCUUCAGUAUUACCUGCAGGUACUUCUCCUCUCUAUCAAACCGCAAGAAUUUACAGGCAGCUAUCAUAUUAUGAGCUCACAAUCGCCGAUAAUGGCACAUACUUGUUACGCUUUCAUUUCCUCGCUUUCAGCUCCGAAGGGACUAAUCUUUCUGAUGCUUUAUUCAGUGUUUCCACUUCAAAAUUCUUGCUCUUGUCAAAUUUUAGUGUCAAGAACACUACCCAUUUACCAGUAAUCAAAGAGUUCUUUCUAACUAUCAAUGCAGACAAGUUCAGAAUUUACUUCAAACCUGAUACAGAGACUUCUUUUGCUUUCGUUAAUGCCCUGGAAGUCCUUAUUCUUCCUAACGACUUCAUCAAGGAUGAAUAUGCUGUUGCAGUCCCUCCCUUAGGAACCGUAAAUGGUACUUUCCUGCUGUCCAAUGCUUUUCAGACAUUAUAUAGAAUAGAUGUUGGACAGGACGCUAGAAUAUCGAAUGAUCCCUUCUGGAGGGACUGGGUGGGUGAUGAUCCUUAUCUAAUUCCUGGGUCUUCUGCAAAAAACUGUACUUUUUAUUCUGGUAAGCUUAAUCAGGCUCCUGGAGCGGUUGAAGACAUUGCCCCUGAUCUCGUGUACAAGACUUGCAAAGAAGUGAGCAUGGAUAAUGGAGGGGCUUCAAAUUUUUCUAACAUAACUUGGAGUUUCAAUGUGAGAAAGAAAGCUAAGCUUCUUGUCCGCCUUCACUUCUGCGACACAUUCAGUGUUUCACCUGGUACUUUAAAGUUUGAUCUAUACAUAUAUACAAAGUUUAACUGGGUUAUUGAUCCUUCCAACGUUACAGCUGGUACUUUGGCAGCUCCAAUUUUCUGGGAUUGUGUCCUUGAAUCUGAUGAUUCUGGAUAUGUGAAUUUCAGUAUAGGCCCUAACGUUGAUUCUGAAAAGAAAGAUGCCUUUCUACAUGGAUUGGAGAUUAUGGAGUUUCUGAUGACAAAUACAAGCAUGGAUUUAGACCAUCUCCGAUUCGGACAUCGAAGCAAACGUCUCAAUCUUGUAAUUGGAUUGUCAGUUGGGGGUGUGGGUUUGAUUUCCAUUUUGAUAAUCUUGUUCCUAUUUGGUCUGAGACGCAGGAGAGCUAAGCCUGUUAAAGCUUUGUUUCUGAAAGAUGUCGUUCCUCCAGGGAGAGGGAGGCCUCACAGUUGGAUAACUUCAGCAACUGUCAUUUCCUCCCCUGUUCCAAAUUUGAACCUCAAGUUAAAGAUGCCUUUCUCUGAUAUAAUUGCUGCUACCAGGGACUUUGACAACGAGUUGUUGAUUGGUGAGGGUGGAUUUGGCAAAGUUUAUAAAGGAACUCUUCCCAAUGGAAUUAAGGUGGCUGUUAAACGAAGCGAUUCAAGCCAUGGCCAGGGUCUUCCAGAAUUCCAGACUGAAGUUACAGUCCUAUCCAAAAUUCGCCACCGUCACCUUGUUUCCUUAAUUGGGUACUGCUAUGAAGGAUCUGAGAUGACACUGGUUUAUGAAUUCAUGGAAAAGGGGACUCUGAGAGAACACCUGUACACCUGGAAGAACAACUCAAAGUCUUCAUCUGUACUGCCAAAAUUGACUUGGAAACAAAGGCUUGAAAUCUGCAUAGGUGCAGCUAAAGGUCUUCAUUAUCUUCACACAGGUUCUGAUGGAGGAAUCAUUCACCGAGAUGUUAAGUCAACAAACAUCUUGCUAGAUGAACAUUAUGUGGCAAAAGUUGCUGAUUUUGGUCUUUCACAGGCAGGCCCACCUGAUCCAGACCAUUUCAGAACGGGUCUGAUUGGAAGCUUUGGCUAUCUUGAUCCUGAAUAUGUGAGAACUCUUGAGUUAACUGAUAAAUCAGAUGUCUACUCAUUUGGUGUGGUACUGCUUGAAGUGCUUUGUGCUCGACCUCCUAUAGUGAACUCAUCCAGGAGGGAGGAAAUAAACUUAGCUGAAUGGGCGAUGUUGUGGCAAAAGAAAGGGCAACUAGAAAAAAUUAUGGACCCUUCACUGGCUGGUGAGAUUAAUCCCAACUCACUGAGAAAGUUUGGUGAAAUAGCUGAGAAGUGCUUGGAGGUUGAAGGAGCUAAGAGGCCUACGAUGCUUGAUGUGUGUUGGGACUUGGAAUAUGCAUUGCAGCUACAACAAAGUGCAGUCCCCAGAGAACCAUACGAGGACAGCACAACAGAUGUUUCGUCAGCUUUUGUGAUGAGUUAUAACAGUUUCUCAAAUGAAGAAGGUUGUUUGCAGAUUGGUGAUGACGAUGAAUCAGACACGAAGGCCAUGUUCUCCUAAUUGAUGAUUGAUGAUCCCAGUUAAUCUCCACAAUCAGCACUUAGAUGCAUUUUACCAUUUUGCAUCCAUUACACUGUGCUUGGUUCAAUUCGGAUCCCUAAAAUUUUAUGAUAUUCAAUUGAAUUUCAUGUUUUUGUAUGUUUUACUUUUUAGAAUAUAAUUUUAGGAAUUGAAUUUCAUGGAACUGCUUAUAACCGAAAUCAAUUCCUUCAAAUUUUAAUGGAAUUAGUUGUUGUACGCACAUUAUUCGAAUAUUAAAAUAUUUUAUAUUAUUAUUAUAUACAAUAAUAUAUAUAUAUUUUUUAUGAAUUCACACUCGUUCUUAAGAGUAGCAAGAUAUUUUCUAUAUUAUAUUCAGAUUUCGAAUUUGAAAUUAUUAAUUAAUAAAAAAUAAAUUAUAAUAUAUUAUUUUAUCUCUUGAGAUUUAAAAUAAUAUAAAAAAAAUAUUUGUUAAAUAUGCAACCUAUUGUUAUAAAAUAAAGAAAUUAACUGUAGAUAAUAAUUAGAAAUUUAAUUAAUAUGCAUAAUUUUCAAUUAUAAAAUAAAAAAAUUUAAAGAUCUCAAAUAUUAAUUAAGUAUAAGUUAUGCAUCAAUAAAUUUUAUUACAUUAAAUAAAUUAAAAAUUUUGAUAUUUACUAUCAUAUAUUAUUAAUAUCACUGUCAAAAAACUAUAUUUAAAAAAAAAAAAUUUACUACAUUUCAAUAGUGGUUGAUGUUAUUUAAUAUUAUUAACUUUUGAUGGAUUAUCUUAUACAUAAGUUUCAAAAGUUUUUAAAAAAAAGUUUAAAUAUUAUUAAACUUACAAAUAUUAUUUUCAUCCUUUUAAGUAUUUGUUAAUAAAAGUUUAAAAAAUGUGAAAUUUAAUUUUAAAAAAUAAGUUCUAUAAUUCUUUUAUUAUUUAAGGGAGAUAAUAUAUGAUUGAAUUUAAAAAUGAUAAUUAAAAACAUACUUCAAAUAACAUAUUUAUUUCAAAGAAAUAUUUAAUUAAUUGAAUAAAACUUAAAAAAUAACUAUAUAAUAUGUACCAUUAUCUUUUUAAUUUAUUUUCGCAUGACUAUUUCUAGAGUUUUAGUUUUAUUAUAAAAAAAAUUAAAAUAUCAAUAGAUUUUUAAGAGUCCAAUAGACCUAUUUUAUAUUAUAAUUUACCUUGAACUUAAAUAUAUAAUAUUUAUUAAAAUUUAAAUAAAAAUAAUAAUAAUACAUUACUAUUACAUAGGUUAUGUUCAGGAGUGGAGAGAAAAUCUCCUCGCUCCUCCCUAAAACAAAAUCAAACAGAAGCGAACAAAUCGACAUCCCUACGGUAGUGGCUUUCCUCCGUUGUCUCCUUCCUAACCAGAACCUUCGUCUCAUUUAGACUAACACGAAAAUCUUCAAAGGAAUUUUACCGUUUGAUGCCAAUGAUUUUACUUCACUGAUGAUAACCCUUGAAAAGCACGUCCUCCAUCGGGAAUAAGGGGGGGGGAAAAAAAUGGAAACCCAACUGAACUUUGAAAAAAGUUCAAGCAUUGAUAAAGGUGCACUUCCUUGCCUCAUAGCUAUCAACUAGCCUGGGCCACUCCUUCCCCAGACUACAGUACAGUGACAAUAUUACAUGCCCACCUUAUUGCAUCUCUUGAUUAAAUGUGUUUCGUACAUGAAAUCUAGAAUACAAACUCAUUUUAGCCUUUGUCCAAAUGGAUUACUGAAACUACAUUAAAUGGUAACUUGUAUAAUAGGCAUCCCACAAUCAUCAAUUGCCAAAAGAAACAUGUACAAAUACCAAAUGAAAAUAUCUCGAAACACUCAAAUGUAACUACACCCUGAUAUCUGAUUUUCAGUAUACAAAUCAAUAACUAUAAGCUAUGUUACAUGUACCGCUCCUUCUCUUUCCUUUGUCACUUCUACCAAAUAUCAAACUCGAUCAAAUUAUUGGCUAAAUGUUUUACAACACACAAUGAUCGAAUCUACAAGACAUACCUGAUGUUACAGCUGCAAUGUGGAACCUAUAACUACACCAACCAUGACCUUACUGCAAUACAAUUGUUGAGCAGAUGACUUAUAUGAUGAUGUACAUGGAACAUAAUCACUUGUAAAGAAAACUCCAAGUUAUCAGGUGGGUCAUGGAGUAAAUCUCCCAAAUAACUUUCUAGAGAGGUAAUCUAUUGCCCUCAUUCCAUCAUUCACGUGGACGUGCCAACCAGAGAGAACUAAGGGCUCGAAGCCUAGAGAAAUAAUCAUUUAUUGCCAGAAGGGCACGAGCCGACUGCCGGGUUGUCAAUACACGGUGCAUUUGUUCAAGUGUUUGCUGUCUCAGAUUAUCAGCCUGAUAAUUGCCAAAGCAAAAAACAAUAAUAAGCAAUGGAAAUUGCAAAACCAACAGAACAAAAUAAGGAGAGGCAAAGAAGAUAAACGAUAAUCAGGACAAUGAAAGUAUAUUACACAUGGCAGUAUAACUUUACAUGCAUAAUUUUGCAACAUCUAUAAGUAACAUAAGCCUUUUUCUUGUUUCCAGAACUGAACUAUCACCACUUUCUUCUAUCAUGGAAUGGGGAACAAGAAAAAGAACAAAGAGUUGAGAUGGGAAUAUGCGUCCUAAGCUUUGCAAUUCACCUAAGUUUUGGAGCUGUUUUGAACCUAAGGAAACCCUCAAAUAGCCUAUUACAUUAACAUAAAGAGACAUUGCAACAAGUGAGAUUUUACAUCAAAAAAAAAAUUUCAAGUGGAAGUAGGAAAGCUUUAAAAUUGACAAUAUAAGAGCCUAUUUGGCAUUAUGGUUGCGGGUAGGGAUGGUUAUCGUGCAGGUUCUCACAGAUACCCUGCCCAAACCCUAAUGCGACGGGUUUGGACAAUUUUUAAAUGAGUUUGGGCAGGUUCGGAUAUAAACUUUUAUGCCUGUUACAGGUUCAUGUAAGGUUUGGAUUUGGUACCCUAGGUACCCACUACCCAAACCCGUUUGGGUUGGUAUAUAAGCUAACAUACACCUCACAACAUUUUUUUUUAUCUCAAACCCACACAGCCGCCUCCUCUUCAACUCUACCCGUCCACCGAUCUUCCUUCCUGCUCCUUCGAUCUUCCUCUUCUUUUAUUUCUUCAAUUUCUUCCUUCUAUUUCUCUACAUUUCUUCUUCUGUUGCUGCAUCCGUUAUUAUUCUUAGACUUCUUCUCCCUCAAGAAUAACUACAGCUCAAGCCUUCAAAGGUGAUCUUUGUUUGUGAUGGAUGGAAGAACACAUGCAAUCCAUCGAGUAAUUGCAACACAUGCAAUCUCAUUUGCAUCUAUGAUGAUUUUUCACUAUUAUUCUUCUUCUCUUCUACUCCUGGAGGUGUGACUUCAAUGUUGUUAUGGUCGUGAUGGUAUCACUGAUGGUUUCUAAUUUGUGAUUUGCAAAGAUGAGAAAUGUUUUUUUUUUCACCAUUUGUUGGUUGAUUGAUUAUUUUAAUUUAAUUUUUUUUCUUUAUGAAGAUCAGAUUUAUAAUGUUGUGUUGAUGCACUGAAUACAUUCUGCUGUUUUAGGAGAGAUGAAUUAAGCAUGCAUUGUAAAUGGAUCCAUGGAGUUUUUUUGAUAUAUGAAUAUAUUGAGGGUCAUAUUUAUGGUUUGAUAACUUUGAAUGUGUUAGUUGAAAUUAGUGAUUAUUUUUUCAGUGAACUUGGUUUGAAUGUGUUUGUUGAAUUUAGUGAUUAAAUUUUUAGUAAAUAUUAGUACCAGUUAAUUGGAUUCAGUCAGUUUUGAGUAGUACGCAGGUAAUGAUAAACUGAUUUGGGACGGAGGGUUCAGGUUUGGAUAUUUAGAAUUUCGUGCAUACCCUGCCCAGUACCAUCCCUAGUUGUGGGCCAAAAAAGUGCUCUUCAGAAAAAUCAUCAAUUUAAAUGUUGUUAUAUAUAUAUAUACAUAUAUAUAUAUAUAUAUACAUAUAUAUAUAAAAGCAACCUAAAAGAACUUGUUCAUUAUUUGUGUAUUACUAUUGCAAUAUGUCUAAUACAAUUUUAAAUCAAUUUUUAAUUUUUUUAACUAACAUAUCUAAGAAAAUGUUUUUCUCAAUAACAAGUCCCACACCAAUGCCAAACAGAAAGAAAUAAGAAAAAAUUAUCAAAAUGCAAGUAGAAAAUUUGAAAAUUAAAAAUUAUAAGCAAGAAUUCCAAACAUCCUUAGAUACACCACCUUAUCAGACAAUAUCUUUAAGAAUCCUAUGAACUAAGCUCAAAAAGGCAUUGUGAUCUAUUUAUCAUGCAGAAUCGUGUUAACAGUAUUAGGCUUCACCAAACUUCCCUUUGCUUUCCAAUCAACAUUUGUAACUCAAAAUCCACAAGAGUUGCACUUAUAUAGGUGACUUGAAACAGGAUUUUGAUCUGGGACUUAGUUCAAAUGGCAUGGAUAAAGGUUUGAACUUGUAACAAGGGAAAUAUGCAUCUUCAACUAAGUCCAGAGCACAUUUGAAACUACACCUCUCUUAGAUUUCUCAACAUCAUCCUCAAGUAAUCCUGCAUUCUCAUUCAUAAAUUUAAACCUUACCUGAUGAUUCAUCAACCAAGAAACACUCAUGCAUUUUAACCCUUAAUAAUUACUCAUUCCAUCCCAUAAUUUUUUUCCACUUUGCUUUUUUACACAUAUUAAGAAAGACAACUUUCUUUUUAUUAACUUUCCAACUAUAUCUAUCUUUAAAACAUUAAUUUUUAUUAAAUACUAUGGAAUAUUUUGAAUAAUCACUCAGAAAAAUAACAAGGAAUGAGAGAUUGUUCUGAAAAUAGGAUAAAAUUAAAUAAAUAAAUAGGGUUGUAAUAAUCAAUUUAUAUGUUAUUAUAAUAUAAAAAAGGAAAGUGGACAAUAAUUUUGAGACAAUAAAAAAAUUAUUAGUGAACAAAAAUUAUGGGAUGAAGGGAGUAUUACAACAGCUUAAUUAAAUAUCAAAUUCAAAUCCCUCCAUCCAAAAAUUAUAACAUACCCACUAUAUAUGUGCAACCUAGUUUCACAUUAUCCACCAUUUUAACCUAAAACAUUCAAAUAUGAACUUAAAAAAUUUUCAGGUUUUAUCAAUAUCUUUUCAAUUCAAUGAAGGUAAGAAUUAAAUAAAAGCAAAAUGAAAACGGCUCUUCAAAUCUGGUGACGAACUAUGGGUUUAACUAUAUAAUUAUUUGACACUUUCACCCUCAACCGGUAGUUUUGAGUUACCCAAACGCCAAAGCUUAUUGAAUGCUCACAGUAAACCACAGGUCCGCAGGAUGCCUAAUUGCAUAUAUCCUACUUGACAACUAAUCCAUACUUACAAUAUACUAAAAUUUGAAUAUCAAAAUCAAGGCAUCAUCCAUGAACCACAUAACCCAAAAAAUUAAUAAAUAAAAAUAAAGACAAUGGAAACAAUUAGGGAAAAAAAAUAUAACCAUCUUUAAAUAAUUUAAAAGACCUUACGGGAAAAACUAUAUGUAUUUAACAUAAAUGUGAAGUUAUGAUCCUCAAAACAAGGGAAGCACAGGGACUGCGGGGGAGAAAGGAGUACAUGUUUAAAGAAAGAAUUACAGGCUGCUUGCCAACUGAACCAGGAAAAACCGGUCAAUUAAUAGUCUUUGUCACGUUUCUUUCACCCCUCUUGUGAGAAAGGAAGGAGAGAGAGAUGAUUUCUAAUUUGUUAGGAUUUCUUUCCUCUUAAUUUUCCUUUUAACCAUUGGUUUCCACACUCCUAAUGGGACUUGUAGAAGUCAAACAAAAGAAGUUGCAGUAUCUCCAAUUCUCACAAUUUAAAAUCUAUAGUUAAUCGCAAAAAAAAAAAAAAAANNNNNNNNNNNUUUUUUUUUUUUUACCAAUUAAACUCUGACUUUAAAAGUUGCUCCAAUUGUACCCUACCAUUACUUGUGCCAUUAGAAACCAGCAGAAUUGUCAUAUCACUUCCCACGUCAGCAAAUUUCAAUGUAAAAUUAAUAUAAUUUAAAAAUUUAGGGUAGAAUUGCAACAAAACUAUAAGUAUAGAAUUUUUUAGGUGAUAGUCUAUUUCAUUAAUAAAUUUUUUUUUUAGGAGAUAGGGGAAUGGAGACUAGAAUCUAUGACUUCAAAUGAAUUAUAUAUUAUUUUCGCCACUUAACCAAGUCAAGCUAAGCAAUUAAAUUCCAACUUACUCCAUAUAUAUAUAUUUUUUUUUAAACCCACUCUAAAUAUUAGUAUAAUUUAGAAAAAGCGGUUGAUUAGCAUUGUGCUUGAAAGUUAAAAUAAUAAUUUAGAAAAAAGUAUCCUAAAAAAAUUAUUUUAUUAUUUUUUAUAUUUUA